GAUGAACGCUGGCGGCGUGCCUAACACAUGCAAGUCGAGCGAUUCUCUUCGGAGAAGAGCGGCGGACGGGUGAGUAACGCGUGGGUAACCUGCCCUGUACACACGGAUAACAUACCGAAAGGUAUGCUAAUACGAGAUAAUAUACUUUUAUCGCAUGGUAGAAGUAUCAAAGCUUUUGCGGUACAGGAUGGACCCGCGUCUGAUUAGCUAGUUGGUAAGGUAACGGCUUACCAAGGCGACGAUCAGUAGCCGACCUGAGAGGGUGAUCGGCCACAUUGGAACUGAGACACGGUCCAAACUCCUACGGGAGGCAGCAGUGGGGAAUAUUGCACAAUGGGCGAAAGCCUGAUGCAGCAACGCCGCGUGAGCGAUGAA
rnacentral:rRNA from 1 species